UUUUUUUUUCAUGCCUAUGAUGGGUGCAAAGCUACAAAUUAAAAGAGCAUUGGACAGACAAAAGUAAUUCUAAGCUAUUCCGUAUCAGCAUCUUUGUAACAUAAAAAAAAACCCUAAAACCCCCACAAAAAACCCCAAACCACCCCAUGGCGGGUUGUGGAAACAAUAUGGCAGGAAAGGAUUGUAUGAACACACAAACCUGAUUUACAUAUACUGUCAUGUAUUCACUUUUUAUGAAUUUGAGGAGCAUCCCUUGAAGUUCUGGAAAAGGGUAGAAGCUUUCUGAGCCAAAAACGAUUUUGAGAAGGUAUUUAGUCUUUUUUUUUUUUUUUUACUUAGAUACUUUUAAGUGACUGUAUAUCCUGAUAGACUGUGCACGUAUUUCCUCUCUCACACACACACAUCAGUUUGACUAGAGAGAGAAUUAUUCUUCCUCCCUCAAUCACCUGUGCCUGACAAUCCCUCCUCUACCUGAAGGUCUGUUGACAGCCUGCUGCUUGUAUCCCACCAGUAACAAAGCUGCUUCACCAUAAGCUGUGCUGCCAUCAGUGCUGGGGAUGCUCAAGGCAUAAACAUCUCCAGCUCACAGUUCAGAGCCUGUACGUGCCUUACAGCGCUAACACUACUGUCCUUAGAGACUUAUACUGGGGCCAACAGGAUGUUGAAUAAGCAAGCGCUGUCAUGAAGCUCAGUAUUUUCUGCCAUAACUGCACUUUAAAUAGAUAAGUGUGACAUACAGAACUUUUUUCCUUAUUUCUUAAAAAUAUUCACCAAUACUUGAGUAUUUCAGGGACCACCCCACUUGGAUGGAUGCACAUACAACCCUAACUAUUCUAUGAUUUAUAGCUCACCUGAUUUCAACCAACCAAUCCUCUAUAGAUACCUAUUUUGUAUGAUUCUUUGGUAGAGAAAACUAUUUCUAUUUUAAUCAAUGCUUUUGGCAAUGACUAUUGCUGCAGCAUAGAAUGAGAUGACAAAAGCCUUUGUUUUCCUAACUGCUGUGUGUCUGUAAAAGGCUGUCUGGGAGAUACUGUGAGAUUUCUGAU
rnacentral:lncRNA from 1 species